GCCCGGGUGGCGGAAUUGGUAGACGCAAGGGACUUAAAAUCCCUCGCUCUUUAUUGAGCGUGCCGGUUCGAGUCCGGCCCCGGGUA
rnacentral:tRNA from 1 species